GACGAACGCUGGCGGCGUGCUUAACACAUGCAAGUCGAACGGAAAGGCCCUGCUUUUGUGGGGUGCUCGAGUGGCGAACGGAUGAGUAACACGUGAGUAACCUGCCCUUGACUUUGGGAUAACUUCAGGAAACUGGGGCUAAUACCGGAUAGGAGCUCCUGCUGCAUGGUGGGGGCUGGAAAGUUUCGGCGGUUGGGGAUGGACGCGCGGCUUAUCAGCUUGUUGGUGGGGUAGUGGCUUACCAAGGCUUUGACGGGUAGCCGGCCUGAGAGGGUGACCGGCCACAUUGGGACUGAGAUACGGCCCAGACUACUACGGGAGGCAGCAGUGGGGAAUAUUGCACAAUGGGCGGAAGCCUGAUGCAGCAACGCCGCGUGCGGGAUGACGGCCUUCGGGUUGUAAACCGCUUUCGCCUGUGACGAAGCGUGAGUGACGGUAAUGGGUAAAGAAGCACCGGCUAACUACGUG
rnacentral:rRNA from 1 species